UUAUUCUGUUACCUAGGGCGCGUCCAUUUUCUUCCUCCUGCCGCCGCCCGAACCCACCUCCGCCCAGCGCGCCGCCCCGAUCCCACCUUCACCCAGCGCGCCGCCGCCCGGAUCCCACCGCCACCCUGCGUGCCGCUGGCCCUAUCCUCCUCCUCCCAGGCGCCUCCGCCACGAUCCCCCUCCUCCCAGCGUGCCUCCCGUCGCCGCCCCCGCCCCCAACUUGCCCUCGUGCAAGCCACCGCCGGCCACCUUCCUCCGGUGGUCACUCCAGCUCCUGCAACCAACACAGGUCGUUGCCCCCUUUGCCACAACGGCAGGAGCACAAAUACGAGUGUGGUCGUCCUCAACCAGUUCCUUCACGCGGCCUUCACGCAACCCCUGCUCAUGUAUGCUUACACCAAAAGUACAACUCUUGUUACUCUCCUCGUACUUGCUCUUGCUUAUUUUCUAAGCAAUAAUUCCUAUUGCUUCCUCUUGGGGAAAGGGAUCCCAUGUUGAAGCCUUGGUGCUCACCCGCUGUUUAUAUUCAUCACCAUAGUGUACGAAACAUAUGAAAACCAUUCUGGCUUCGGGAGAAAAUAUAACCAGUACAUGUGCAAUUGCGUGAGAAGUUCCCUUAUGAAAGUUCCUUGUAAACAAACCACAUGAAAGUUCGUCAAGAAAAACUUUGUAAGUUCAAAAUGGCUAUAGGAAAACUUUGUAGGUUCAGAUGGGUAUAGAAAACUUUGUAAGUUCAAAAUGGGCACGCCUAAUAGUGCGUGAAUAAAAUUUUUAAACCCAACAAAGUCCAUGUUGGUCGGUCUACAGUGUGUUGUCAAGAAGGUUGUUGGCCUUGGAGGCCGACACUAGCUGAUCAUCUACCUUCCAAUUAUAUUAGGCAUAUACCACUGAAACUGCAGGUCGCGCCCUCCUCCCACCGUAGGUGGUGCCCUCCUCCCGCAUAGCCUAUUGGUUGGUGUACCGUGACCCCUCCUCAUAUUUUUGGUAUGAAUUUGAUGAAUCUUCUUGAUGCUCUGUUCUUAUUCAUCUAGAGAUUCCUCCUCAUAUUGAUUGUUUGUAUUGCUCUGUUCUUGUCAUUUUGUAAAUUAGAAAACAGUAGUCAGUAUUUUUUUAUAAAAAAGUUUACCGCAUAAAAAAUGCAACAGUAGUUCAACACAAUAUCAAGGAGGGUGUGAGUUGGGUAUGGUUACAGACGAAAGAUAUGUGUUGAAAAGUUCACUUCGUCUACAUACGUAAGUUCAAAAAAUUGUCAUAGAGCUAGUUUAAAAAAUUGUCAAAAGGCAAAAUGGUUGUGCUAGUUCAAUUUUUUCAGUCCAUCUUCUGUAUGCUAUUCAGUACAUCUAAUUCCAAAUCGUAAGUACAAUUGCCUUUAUGUUUUCCAUCUUCAUAUAACACAAAAUAGGCACUGGAGGAUAAGGUGAGAAUAUAUACUAAUGAAAUGCUUGGUGGCGUUGUCCAUGUUUUGAAUUUAAACCACUAGCUUUUUUAUACACGAGCGCCUGUCCUGGGAGAGCCCUAUAUUGCCAUGAGCACUACUGCUACAAACUUUAAUCCCCCAUUGUCCGGCCCUAUAUUUUAUCCUCGGUUCUUAGAAAAGCAUGGAAACAAUUCUCUGUGUGUUAGAGUAUCAGUUCAUGUGGAGAAGAACAUGUUUCCUAUAUGAAAAAAAUAAUAUAUUAUUAUCAGUUCAAUAUGUAUUUUGUCAUUAGUUCAUACAGAACAACCGUAAAAAAUAUUUUGAUGUGUGUUAGAGAGAGAUCAACUUUAUAUUAUAUGGUAGCUCACUCAUUGCAUGAUUGCACAGCAGUUUGGCAUCAAAAUUCACAUCAGUUUAGGGGUGCCCGCAUCACGGUCUCACCGUGCUACCGCAAUCUCUCCUUGAUACGCCACCGGACGAGCCCCUCCUCACACUUUGGCAAGCUGUCACUUGCUCCUGUGCCUGGAUCCCAUGUGAGCGCUGAUGGUAGUCCUCUGUGUGCGUCAAUGGCACUUUCUCACAGCAAUCUCCCUCUCUUUCUUUGCUCCUGCUAUUAAAAUGCAUAGAUGUGGUAUUCUGCUAACUGAGUAGUUGGGAAGAUGUGAAAAGAACAUGCUCUUUAGGUGUUUGUGACUAUUCCUGUGAGCACCAAUGAAUUUAAAUUUUUAUUUUGUGCUUCCGUGUAUGUUUUUGGGCAGCACAAGUACAUCGUCAUAGUAAGUACAAAUGCGGUCUUAUGGAACUCUGAUAGUUGUUGGAUGCUAUUCCAAAUGCCAAUCAUGCAAAACGGUUGUUGCUAGAAUCUAGAUGAUAUUUAAUGUAGAUACCAUAGUUUCACCGUAUUUUUUGGUUCUAAAUAUUUCUGCAUACCUCUUUAAAAGAAUGUUCCGUUUGUGAUCAUUUCUUGUAGGUAUUCAUGUGGACUUUAAAUAAUGACUAUUCUUGUAUGAGGUUUGAAGAUUAUCGUGGAGCAAGUUCAAGAGAUUAGUUUCGUGAAAAUAAAUGUGAUCUUUUGGUCAGGAUUUUGCAUGAUCCAUAGCCAUCGAUGGCAACAGGAGGCGUCCUGCGUGAGUCGUCCAUCGUCUUCUAUGCGUGAGCUUGUUGUCUCUACACAUCUAGCAUCAGAGUAUCGCCUCCCCUUGCCACACACACAUGCGGUGUGGUCGAGCUAGUGUUGUUUGUGAUACUGCUCGUGACUCUUGCGUCGUCAUUGGACAAAGAAUUUGUUCUGUGACUAUGUAUUUGCAGGACCUUUAGCAAAUAUUGUUGUGUUCUGAGUAUUCUGAUGUGGGCCAAAUGGUGAGCAUUUAAACAUCAGUCUGAAUUAACAAAACUGAUAAGUUCUACUUUCAAUAAACUGAUGAACCUAGAUGCAACAAAGCUCUGCCAUUAGCCGUGGGGAUUAUCA